UUGUCCCUUAGGGGACAUCGCCAUAUACUGAGCGUUGACACACUCCCUGGCAUCUCUUAUACCCGCCCUGGGAACCCGCAUGCAAAUCCCUGCCCCGGGGGGUUCCUGUAUAAACACAAACCCCUGGUUCUAGGAGCCUCAGUCUCUCCCCAGACACAGAACUGCCCAGUCCUGCCUGCUGGGGAAUAUCCCUCAUUGCAUGAAAAGUAGAAUGAUAUCUCUGUUGCUUUUCCUUUCCCUGUUCUCUGCCCUCUCCGGCGUCCUCUCCCAGGUGCAGCUGGUCCAGUCCGGCCCGGGGGCGGUGAAGCCCGGAGAGACCCUCACCCUGACCUGCGCUGUCUCCGGGGUCUCCAUCUCUGCUCAGAAUUCCGUUUGGCACUGGAACCGGCAGCCCCCCAGAAAGGGGAUGGAGUGGAUGGGGUAUGUGUACCCAUAUAACGGGGAUACAGGCUACGCCUCGUCUCUCCAAGGCCGAGCCACCAUCUCUGGAGACACGUCCAAGAACCAGGUCUCCCUGCAGCUCCGCUCGCUGACAGCUGCAGACACCGCCACCUAUUACUGCGCCAGAGAGCCCCACAGUGACACAGAGCAAAGCAGGGACUGGUACAAAAAGGGGAAGCGGUUUCUAAGCAGCCGAGUGAGGCCAGAGUUACAGGGACCAUUGAGCCCCUCAGAGAGAGAGAGAGGUAGAGAGACAUGAGGUAGAGAGACUGUGAAACAUACAAACAUCUAUUUCUGAAAAUGCCCCCAGAAGCCACCCAGUCCCUCUGCACAUGAUUUACCUUGGAGCUGCCACAGGACUCACGUCAAACUCACCAACCAAACACAGCGAUUUGUUUACAUUGAAAUGCUCAUAGGAACAGGCAGGGAAAAUGUUGUGGAAAUACAGAGUGAAACAAAAUCACUCAGGGACCUAGUGUCAGUGCCUGGGGGGACUGUUUGCCUGGGGCCAUGUGAGUCAGUGUGCUUGGUUUGUGGUUUGUAAGAUAGCUCUUUGUCUUCAGCACAGGACAAGACCACCACACAUCCAAACAGGACCAAGCAACUUUCAAGUCUUCCAGUAGGGGGCAGCAUCACACACACACACCCCUAGUGUCAGGGCUUCCCUUCACCAGACCGAAGGGAGAAGGCCAGAGUCCAUAGUGCAGGCAAUGCCAUGUUUCUUGGGUUACCAAGCAAGCAAAAGCCAUAGCUCUGAACCCCAGCAGAGCUGUUCCCUGUCCCCCUCCACUUUCUUAGCAGGCUUAUUUCUACUUGUAGUGCACACCCCUGCUCCCACCCCUUACAAUGUAUGGUCAUGUUCCUUCUGGAGGGUCCUGAGUCUGGGGGCUUUCGCACCAUCUCUUUGUACCCCAUGGGAUGGGUAGGGAGUGAGGUUGUGUUUU